CAUCGCGAGUUGGAAUCUGAAAGAAGUCAGCGGCAAACAUCUGCCCCGACGUACAGAAACCUAAUACCAAGGCUUGUUUGCGAGGGUGAGGCGGCCUAAAGCGUCAAAGCCCUAUAACUACUCGGAAUCGCAAGGAGUAAAUUAGGCGGGGAUAAGGUGGAAAGUC
rnacentral:ncRNA from 1 species